UGAGUAAUGUCUGGGAAACUGCCUGAUGGAGGGGGAUAACUACUGGAAACGGUAGCUAAUACCGCAUAACGUCGCAAGACCAAAGAGGGGGACCUUCGGGCCUCUUGCCAUCAGAUGUGCCCAGAUGGGAUUAGCUAGUUGGUGGGGUAACGGCUCACCAAGGCGACGAUCCCUAGCUGGUCUGAGAGGAUGACCAGCCACACUGGAACUGAGACACGGUCCAGACUCCUACGGGAGGCAGCAGUGGGGAAUAUUGCACAAUGGGCGCAAGCC
rnacentral:rRNA from 1 species